rnacentral:pre_miRNA from 1 species
UGGAGGAACAACCCCAGUGGCGGAGCCAGCUCUGGAGCCCUGGAGUCAGCUCCCGCAGUAACUCCGGAGCUCUCCGUCUGCAGGGCCUGGAGGCUCCGGGGCGGG